rnacentral:tRNA from 1 species
GCGGUCGUGGUGAAAUUGGUAGACACGCUACUUUGAGGGGGUAGUGGGCGUAUGCCUGUGUCGGUUCGAGUCCGACCGACCGCA